rnacentral:rRNA from 1 species
UACGUAGGGUCCGAGCGUUGUCCGGAAUUAUUGGGCGUAAAGGGCUCGUAGGCGGUCCGUCACGUCGGGAGUGAAAACUCAGGGCUCAACCCUGAGCGUGCUUCCGAUACGGGCGGACUAGAGGUAUGCAGGGGAGAACGGAAUUCCUGGUGUAGCGGUGGAAUGCGCAGAUAUCAGGAGGAACACCGGUGGCGAAGGCGGGUCUCUGGGCAACUACUGACGCUGAGGAGCGAAAGCGUGGGGAGCGAACAGG